CAGCAGCCGCGGUAAUACGAGGGGGGCAAGCGUUGUUCGGAAUUAUUGGGCGUAAAGGGUGCGUAGGCGGUUUGACAAGUCUUAUGUGAAAUCUCUGGGCUCAACCCAGAGUCUGCAUGGGAAACUGUCGAGCUUGAGUAUGGAGAGGUGAGUGGAAUUUCCGGUGUAGCGGUGAAAUGCGUAGAUAUCGGAAGGAACACCUGUGGCGAAAGCGGCUCACUGGACCAUUACUGACGCUGAUGCACGAAAGCUAGGGGAGCAAACAGGAUUAGAUACCCCAGUAGUCCCUGUCUCUUAUACC
rnacentral:rRNA from 1 species